rnacentral:rRNA from 1 species
GACGAACGCUGGCGGCGUGCUUAACACAUGCAAGUCGAACGGAAAGGCCCUGCUUUUGUGGGGUGCUCGAGUGGCGAACGGGUGAGUAACACGUGAGUAACCUGCCCUUGACUUUGGGAUAACUUCAGGAAACUGGGGCUAAUACCGGAUAGGAGCUCCUGCUGCAUGGUGGGGGUUGGAAAGUUUCGGCGGUUGGGGAUGGACUCGCGGCUUAUCAGCUUGUUGGUGGGGUAGUGGUUUACCAAGGCUUUGACGGGUAGCAGGCCUGAGAGGGUGACCGGCCACAUUGGGACUGAGAUACGGCCCAGACUCCUACGGGAGGCAGCAGUGGGGAAUAUUGCACAAUGGGCGGAAGCCUGAUGCAGCAACGCCGCGUGCGGGAUGACGGCCUUCGGGUUGUAAACCGCUUUCGCCUGUGACGAAGCGUGAGUGACGGUAAUGGGUAAAGAAGCACCGGCUAACUACGUG